GAUCCUGGCUCAGGACGAACGCUGGCGGCGUGCCUAACACAUGCAAGUCGAACGGAGAAUUUUAUUUCGGUAGAAUUCUUAGUGGCUAACGGGUGAGUGACGCGUAGGCAACCUACCCUUUAGACGGGGACAACAUUCCGAAAGGAGUGCUAAUACCGGAUGUGAUCAUCGUGCCGCAUGGCAGGAUGAAGAAAGAUGGCCUCUACAAGUAAGCUAUCGCUAAAGGAUGGGCCUGCGU
rnacentral:rRNA from 1 species